UACGUAGGGAGCAAGCGUUGUCCGGAAUCAUUGGGCGUAAAGCGCGCGUAGGCGGCCCUGUAAGUCCGCUGUGAAGGUCAAAGGCUCAACCUUUGAAAGCCGGUGGAUACUGCAGGGCUAGAGUCCGGAAGAGGCGAGUGGAAUUCCUGGUGUAGCGGUGGAAUGCGCAGAUAUCAGGAGGAACACCAAUAGCGAAGGCAGCUCGCUGGGACGGUACUGACGCUAAGGCGCGAAAGCGUGGGGAGCGAACAGG
rnacentral:rRNA from 1 species